GAUGAACGCUGGCGGCGUGCCUAAUACAUGCAAGUCGAGCGAAUGGAUUAAGAGCUUGCUCUCAUGAAGUUAGCGGCGGACGGGUGAGUAACACGUGGGUAACCUGCCCAUAAGACUAGGAUAACUCCGGGAAACCGGGGCUAAUACCGGAUAACAUUUUGAACCGCAUGGCUCGAAAUUGAAAGGCGGCCUCGGCUGUCAAGUAGGGGUGGACUCGCGACGCAUUAGCUAGUUGGUGAGGUAACGGCUCACCAAGGCAACCAUGCGUAGGCGACCUGAGAGGGUGAUAGGCCACACUGGGACUGAGCCACGGCCCAGACUCCUACGGGAGAGAGCAGUAGGGAAUCUUCCGCAAUGGACGAAAGUCUGACGGAGCAACGCCGCGUGAGUGAUGAAGGCUUUCGGGUCGUAAAACUCUGUUGUUAGGGAAGAACAAGUGCUAGUUGAAUAAGCUGACACCUUGACGGUACCUAACCAGAAAGCCACGGCUAACUACGUGCCAGCCGCCGCAGUAA
rnacentral:rRNA from 1 species